rnacentral:rRNA from 1 species
UGCAUAUCCAAAAAGCGGAGGAAAAGAAACCAACAGGGAUUGCCUUAGUAACGGCGAGUGAAGCGGCAAAAGCUCAAAUUUGAAAUCGGCCACCAGGUCGAGUUGUAAUUUGUAGAUUGUAUCUUGAGAGCGGAUUAAAGUCUGUUGGAACACAGCGCCUUAGAGGGUGACAGCCCCGUAAAAUCUAUUCUCAUUGUAAGAUACUUUCGAAGAGUCGAGUUGUUUGGGAAUGCAGCUCUAAGUGGGAGGUAAAUUCCUUCUAAAGCUAAAUAUUGACGAGAGACCGAUAGCGAACAAGUACUGUGAAGGAAAGAUGAAAAGCACUUUGAAAAGAGAGUGAAAAAGUACGUGAAAUUGUUAAAAGGGAAGGGUAUUGAAUCAGACUUGGUGCUGUUGUUCAACUGUGUUUUGGCACAGUGUACUCAGCAGUACUAGGCCAAGGUGGGGUGUUUGGGAGUGAAAAAGAAGUUGGAACGUAACUCUUCGGAGUGUUAUAGCCUACUUUCAUAGCUCCUCAGGCGCCUCAGGACUGCGCUUCGGCAAGGACCUUGGCAUAAUGAUUCUAUACCGCCCGUCUUGAAC